rnacentral:rRNA from 1 species
GACGAACGCUGGCGGCGUGCUUAACACAUGCAAGUCGAACGGAAAGGCCCUGCUUUUGUGGGGUGCUCGAGUGGCGAACGGGUGAGUAACACGUGAGUAACCUGCCCUUGACUUUGGGAUAACUUCAGGAAACUGGGGCUAAUACCGGAUAGGAGCUCCUGCUGCAUGGGGGGGGUUGGAAAGUUUCGGCGGUGUGGGAUGGACUCGCGGCUUAUCAGCUUGUUGGUGGGGGAGUGGCUUACCACGGCUUUGACGGGUAGCCGGCCUGGGAGGGUGACCGGCCACAUUGGGACUGAGAUACGGCCCAGACUCCUACGGGCGGCAGCGGUGGGGAAUAUUGCACAAUGGGCGGAAGCCUGAUGCGGCAACGCCGCGUGCGGGAUGCCGGCCUUCGGGUUGUAAACCGCUUUCGCCUGUGACGAGGCGUGAGUGACGGUAAUGGGUAAAGAAGCACCGGCUAACUACGUG